UGAAGGAUGACGGUCCUAUGGAUUGUAAACUUCUUUUGUAUAGGAAUAAACCUACCCUCGUGAGGGUAGCUGAAGGUACUAUACGAAUAAGCACCGGCUAACUCCGUGCCAGCAGCCGCGGUAAUACGGAGGGUGCAAGCGUUAUCCGGAUUUAUUGGGUUUAAAGGGUCCGUAGGCGGACCGAUAAGUCAGUGGUGAAAUCUCAUAGCUUAACUAUGAAACUGCCGUUGAUACUGUCGGUCUUGAGUAAAUUAGAGGUAGCUGGAAUAAGUAGUGUAGCGGUGAAAUGCAUAGAUAUUACUUAGAACACCAAUUGCGAAGGCAGGUUACCAUGAUUUAACUGACGCUGAGGGACGAAAGCGUGGGGAGCGAACAGGAUUAGAUACCCUGGUAGUCCACGCCGUAAACGAUGCUAACUCGUUUUUGGGGCGCAAGCUUCAGAGACCAAGCGAAAGUGAUAAGUUAGCCACCUGGGGAGUACGUUCGCAAGAAUGAAACUCAAAGGAAUUGACGGGGGCCCGCACAAGCGGUGGAUUAUGUGGUUUAAUUCGAUGAUACGCGAGGAACCUUACCAAGACUUAAAUGGGAAAUGACAGGUUUAGAAAUAGAUCCUUCUUCGGACAUUUUUCAAGGUGCUGCAUGGUUGUCGUCAGCUCGUGCCGUGAGGUGUUAGGUUAAGUCCUGCAACGAGCGCAACCCCUGUCACUAGUUGCUAACAUUCAGUUGAGGACUCUAGUGAGACUGCCUACGCAAGUAGAGAGGAAGGUGGGGAUGACGUCAAAUCAUCACGGCCCUUACGUCUUGGGCCACACACGUAAUACAAUGGCCGGUACAGAGGGCAGCUACACAGCGAUGUGAUGCAAAUCUCGAAAGCC
rnacentral:rRNA from 1 species